AUUUAACUGACGAGUCCCAAAUAGGACGAAACACGCGUCCUGGAU
rnacentral:hammerhead_ribozyme from 1 species